AUUGAACGCUGGAGGCAGGCUUAACACAUGCAAGUCGCGCGAGCGGCGGACGGGUGAGUAAUGUCUGGGACACUGCCUGAUGGAGGGGGAUCACUACUGGAAACGGUAGCUAAUACCGCAUACCAUCAGAUGUUCCCCGAUGGGAUUAGCUAGUAGGUGGGGUAAUGGCUCACCUAGGCGACGAUCACUAGCUGGUCUGAGAGGAUGACCAGCCACACUGGAACUGAGACACGGUCCAGACUCCUACGGGAGGCAGCAGUGUGGAAUAUUGCACCAUGGGCGCAAGCCUGAUGCAGCCAUGCCGCGGUUGUGAAGCAGGCCUUCGGGUUGUAAAGCACUUUCAGCGAGGAGGCGUUACUCGCAGAAGAAGCACCGGCUAACUCCGUGCCAGCAGCCGCGGGAAUUC
rnacentral:rRNA from 1 species